UACGUAGGGUGCAAGCGUUGUCCGGAAUUAUUGGGCGUAAAGAGCUCGUAGGCGGUCUGUCGCGUCUGCUGUGAAAACUCAGGGCUUAACCCUGAGCUUGCAGUGGGUACGGGCAGACUAGAGUGCGGUAGGGGAGACUGGAAUUCCUGGUGUAGCGGUGAAAUGCGCAGAUAUCAGGAGGAACACCGGUGGCGAAGGCGGGUCUCUG
rnacentral:rRNA from 1 species